rnacentral:lncRNA from 1 species
ACAAACAUAAGAGAAGCAUUUUCAAAAGAGAACUGAUCAGACGUGCUCGAGUCCGUGAUAAUACUUAUCUGGCACGUCUACAUCCACUCAUUUAGAGGUGGACUCCACUAUUUUUAUUUUUUAUUUUUUAUUUUUUUAAAGUGGAAUCUACUUUCAAAUAGGUGGAUGUGAGCGCGCCACAUAAACGAACCCAUAGUAAUACUACUGACUCGAGCCUUCUGAUCAGUUCUCUUUUCAAAAACACCUUUAUUUCUCACAUCACAUCAAUCAUUACAUAGACUCCCACUCUAAUAACAUCUCACAUUCAACUCUACACACUAGAUAUGGAAGCAUUCCAUGGAUAAAAAAAGAAAAUUAGUAAAACAAGAUUUUAUUAACCCGACCCAAUUCCUUUGCUUUUAUUUGCAGCUCUCUAGAGACUCAAUCCACCUGCAAAUUAAGAGAGACAAAGUGAUUACAAAUGUCACCAAGUGUAUGCAUAUGAUUAUCGACCAUUGUAUAUGGAUUAAAAGAUUUAAAAAAAAAAAUUAGGCUGCAUUUGGAUAAAUGACGAGAGAAAAAGAAAAAAAAUUAAAUAAUUUAAUCGUUUGAAAUUAUUUAAUUAUUUAUCUUUUUAUUUUUAUUUCUUUUUUCUCUCAAUGAUCCAAACACACCUUAGUGGCAAUGUUUUAAACCUAAAUUGACCCGUCUGGUUCGACCGGUCGAAAAAACGGUCUGAUCGGCCGUCAAAACCCGUCAAAAUCUAUUUUGAUCAAAAUUCGAUCAAACUCGCGGUUGAACCGGAGAUCCGGCGAUUGAACUAGUUAUUAAAUCAGCCGAUUCACUGUUUUAAGAGAAAUUUUAUGUUUUAAUUUCAAAAUUUUAAGUUUAGUAUAAAAAGUAGUAUAAAAAAAUAAAAAAUAUUUCAUUACUAUUAAUAAAUAAAUUAAUGAUAUAAUUAUGACAUCACGGGUCAAUAACGACGGUUGAAUCAUUAACUCGUGACCCGGUCUAUUUUCUGAUUCGCUCGAAUGCUUAACUGUCUGAAUUUCAAAACUGCUCAGUGGUAAAUGGUAAAUGAAAGGGAAAAUUUUAUCAUUCGUCCUUUAGUUUGACUAAAGCUUUAGUUUGGUCCUUACAAUUUGAAUUUAAACAAUUAGGACCCUCUAGUUUCAAAUACUCCGUCAGUCAAUACCCACCAUCUUUGAUCGUUUGACCAAAAUUUUACUUUGGCCCCUAAAAAUAUCUUUGCGAGUUUUCACAUGAUACUUUUUAGUCUGAAUUGGUAACAAGCAUUAACGGAGAGACUACAUGUAAAUCAGAUUAAAAGAAGGACCAAAGUGACACUAAUGUUAAAAGAAAGAAAAAAUCUAAAUUUAUUGUUUUCACAUAACAUAACUAGGGAUGGCAAUUUAACCCGAACAACCCGAUACCCGUCGAGCCCCGCCCCGUUUAGGACGGAUUUGGGGAAAAAAAUAAAACCCGAUUAAUAAACGGGGCGGGGGCGGGGGCGGGGGAGCCUCCUCCACCCCGAAACCCGCCCGGAUUACCCAGAUUAUAUAUAAAAAAAUAAAAUUAACAUAUUUUUUAAAAAUAUAUCAUAAUAGCAUUCUGAUAGAUAUAUAGUAGACCAAUGAAUUAUAUAAAAAAUAUUAGAUAUAAUAAAAAAAAUUAAUAAACGGGGCGGGGGCGGGGGUAGGGGAGGAAUCCAACCCUAUUAAUAACGGGGCGGGGGUGGAGGAGGCCCAACACCCUCCCCGUUGCCAUCCCUAAACAUAACAAUAUACUAUAAAUUACCUUUAAUAUAAUAGUGCAAGGGGGGAAUGUUGGACCGAUCCAGUCGCUGUCGCUGCUGCUAUCGACACAUGACGAGUUAGGGUUUUGCUGAUCACAAAAUAUCACACUAUGUUCACAGCCGAAUCACAAACCCUCUUGACUAAUAUUUUUCUAAUGGUACAUUUCUUUGCACCCCAAUAAUAAUUGAUACUAAUUAACACCAUAAAACUAAAGUAAAUAUUUUUACAAUAGCUUAAAUACUAUUCAUUUGGUAUUAAAAAACCAACAAAAAAAAUUAGAUUUGGGUGGGUGCACCAUGCUGUUAGCAAAACAUAUGGCAUCUUUUACAUAAAUAUUCAAUUUGUAAAUCCAAUAAUAUAAACGAUUUAGAUCACGUAAUAGAUUUGAGUGGGUGCACCGUACUGUUAGCAAAACGUAUAGUUUCGAAUUAUGUGAUAUAAAUCGUUUAAAUUUGAACGGUUAUAUCAAUUUAUUUUUUUUAUUUUUUCUAUCAAAUCUUUAAUCUAAACACAUCCUAAAGGAUUUAUCAAGACAUUUAAUUAAGCUAUAUAUGGAAUAUCCCCAAUUUGUUGAAGAAAAACAGAAGUGAAAAAUUAUCCUACUUUAAUUUUCUAUUAUAUUUUCUUACAUUGGAAAAAAUAUCAAGGCGGGCCCCACAGCGGGUUAUGCUAUGAGAACCCAACCACUCACAAACAUAAGAGAAGCAUUUCAAAAACACCUUUAU